AUACUUACCUGGCAGGGGAGAUACCAUGAUCACGAAGGUGGUUUUCCCAGGGCGAGGCUUAUCCAUUGCACUUAUGACUACAUGAUGAGUGCCAGGUGCACUGUCUGGAGAAUGA
rnacentral:snRNA from 1 species